rnacentral:rRNA from 1 species
AGAGUUUGAUCCUGGCUCAGGAUGAACGCUAGCGGGAGGCUUAACACAUGCAAGUCGAGGGGUAACAGCGGUAGCAAUACUGGCUGACGACCGGCGCACGGGUGAGUAACGCGUAUGCAACCUACCUUUUACAGAGGAAUAGCCCAGAGAAAUUUGGAUUAAUACCUCAUAGUACUUUAAGAUCACAUGGUUUUACAGUUAAAGUUUCGGCGGUAAAAGAUGGGCAUGCGUGACAUUAGAUUGUUGGGGGGGUAACGGCCCACCAAGUCUGCGAUGUCUAGGGGUUCUGAGAGGAUGAUCCCCCACACUGGUACUGAGACACGGACCAGACUCCUACGGGAGGCAGCAGUGAGGAAUAUUGGUCAAUGGGCGCAAGCCUGAACCAGCCAUCCCGCGUGAAGGAAGACUGCCCUAUGGGUUGUAAACUUCUUUUAUGUACCAAGAAUGUGUCCCUCGUGAGGGAUUUUGACGGUAGUACAUGAAUAAGCAUCGGCUAACUCCGUGCCAGCAGCCGCGGUAAUACGGAGGAUGCGAGCGUUAUCCGGAUUCAUUGGGUUUAAAGGGUGCGUAGGCGGGUUCUUAAGUCAGUGGUGAAAUCCUGCGGCUCAACCGUAGAACUGCCAUUGAAACUGAGAACCUUGAAUAUAAUUGAGGUAGGCGGAAUGAGUAGUGUAGCGGUGAAAUGCUUAGAUAUUACUCAGAACACCAAUUGCGAAGGCAGCUUACUAAACUAUUAUUGACGCUGAUGCGCGAAAGCGUGGGGAGCGAACAGGAUUAGAUACCCUGGUAGUCCACGCCGUAAACGAUGUUCACUCGCUGUAUGCGAUACACAGUAUGCGGCCAAGCGAAAGUAUUAAGUGAACCACCUGGGGAGUACGUCGGCAACGGUGAAACUCAAAGGAAUUGACGGGGGCCCGCACAAGCGGAGGAACAUGUGGUUUAAUUCGAUGAUACGCGAGGAACCUUACCUGGGCUUAAAUGUAGAUUGCAUGUGGUGGAAACACCCUUCCCUUCGGGGCUAUCUACAAGGUGCUGCAUGGUUGUCGUCAGCUCGUGCCGUGAGGUGUCGGGUUAAGUCCCAUAACGAGCGCAACCCCUAUCGUUAGUUGCCAUCAGGUCAUGCUGGGGACUCUAGCGAGACUGCCACCGUAAGGUGAGAGGAAGGUGGGGACGACGUCAAAUCAGCACGGCCCUUAUGUCCAGGGCUACACACGUGUUACAAUGGCAGGUACAAAGGGCAGCUACACCGCGAGGUGAUGCUAAUCUCUAAAGCCUGUCUCAGUUCGGAUCGGAGUCUGCAACUCGACUCCGUGAAGUUGGAUUCGCUAGUAAUCGGAUAUCAGCCAUGAUCCGGUGAAUACGUUCCCGGGCCUUGUACACACCGCCCGUCAAACCAUGGAAGCUGGGGGGACCUGAAGUCUGUCACCGAAAGGAGCGGCCUAGGGUAAAACCGGUAACUGGGGUUAAGUCGUAACAAGGUA